rnacentral:rRNA from 1 species
UACAGAGGUCCCGAGCGUUGUUCGGACUCAUUGGGCGUAAAGGGUGCGUAGGCGGUUAGGUAAGUUUGAUGUGAAAUCCUGGGGCUCAACCCUGGAACUGCAUUGAAUACUGCUUGACUAGAGUACUGGAGAGGAAACUGGAAUUCACGGUGUAGCAGUGAAAUGCGUAGAGAUCGUGAGGAAGACCAGUGGCGAAGGCGAGUUUCUGGACAGUUACUGACGCUGAGGCACGAAGGCCAGGGGAGCAAACGGG